GCCGCGUGAAGGAUGAAGGCUUUCGAGUUGUAAACUUCUUUAGGCAGGGAAGAAUAAAUGACGGUACCUGCAGAAUAAGCCCCGGCUAAAUACGUGCCAGCAGCCGCGGUAAUACGUAUGGGGCAAGCGUUAUCCGGAAUUACUGGGUGUAAAGGGUGAGUAGGCGGUUUGAUAAGUCACAUGUGAAAUCCCACAGCUCAACUGUGGAACUGCAUGAGAAACUAUCAGGCUAGAGUAUGGGAGAGGCAAGUGGAAUUCCUAGUGUAGCGGUGGAAUGCGUAGAUAUUAGGAAGAACACCAGUGGCGAAGGCGACUUGCUGGACCAAAACUGACGCUGAAUCACGAAAGCGUGGGGAGCAAACAGGAUUAGAUACCCUGGUAGUCCACGCCGUAAACGAUGAGUGCUAGGUGUCGGGGAGAAAUCUUCGGUGCCGCAGCUAACGCAAUAAGCACUCCACCUGGGGAGUACGUACGCAAGUAUGAAACUCAAAGGAAUUGACGGGGGCCCGCACAAGCGGUGGAGCAUGUGGUUUAAUUCGACGCAACGCGAAGAACCUUACCAAGGCUUGACAUCCCGAUGACCGGUAUAGAGAUAUACCUUUUCUUCGGAACAUCGGUGACAGGUGGUGCAUGGUUGUCGUCAGCUCGUGUCGUGAGAUGUUGGGUUAAGUCCCGCAACGAGCGCAACCCUUAUUUUUAGU
rnacentral:rRNA from 1 species